rnacentral:rRNA from 1 species
AUUGAACGCUGGCGGCAUGCCUUACACAUGCAAGUCGAACGGCAGCACGGGAGCAAUCCUGGUGGCGAGUGGCGAACGGGUGAGUAAUAUAUCGGAACGUGCCCAGUAGUGGGGGAUAACUGCUCGAAAGAGCAGCUAAUACCGCAUACGACCUGAGGGUGAAAGGGGGGGAUCGCAAGACCUCUCGCUAUUGGAGCGGCCGAUAUCAGAUUAGCUAGUUGGGGGGGUAAAGGCCUACCAAGGCAACGAUCUGUAGUGGGUCUGAGAGGACGACCAGCCACACCGGCAAUGCGACACGGUCCAGACUCCUACGGGAGGCAGCAGUGGGGAAUUUUGGACAAUGGCCGCAAGACUGAUCCAGCAAUGCCGCGUGCAGGAAGAAGGCCUUCGGGUUGUAAACUGCUUUUGUCAGGGAAGAAAUCCUAUAGGUUGAUACCCUUGGGGGGAUGACGGUACCUGAAGAAUAAGCACCGGCUAACUACGUGUCAGCCGCCGCAGUAAAAC